GCUUGCUCCAGCAGAGAAAGAAGCUACCUGCAAGGAAGCUGCCUAUGGAACCUGGAGCCGGAGCUGAAUUUUGUCAGUUAUGGAACAUUUCAGUUACGGACAACCUCCAUUCCUGAGGUAUCUAACUCUGAGGAUCUACUGUAAUCAGGUUAAGGAGACUGUGUGCUGUCACCAAAUCCCGCAUUUAUUUUAAGCAUUCCCACUAUAGAAGAAAUACAGAAAACAUCAAUAAAGAAAACAAAGGAGAUUACAUCAUUGACAUCAAAAUUUACAGCAGGGCCUACUAAGACCUUACAUAUCUUGAAAAAUGAGAGAGGCAGGGUGGGUGAGGAGCAACAUGGCUAAAACAACAUUGCAAAUAUCUUGCAAAACUCAUCUGGAAAGGCAUCACAUCACAGAAUGAAACUUCUUUACAUCUCCCAGGGCAUGUUUCUGUGAAUUGUCUUAAACAGAAUGGCAGUUCUGUCUUCAAUCACAUAUAAACCCAGCUGUUCCCAGCAGAAAAUGAAAAUGAGGCCUUCCAGAGAUCCUAACUUUGCACAAAUACCAGUGCCUUUAGUAUCAGAGACAGACAUCCUUGGAUGCCGUUAUAGGAGCCAUGGGGAUGGACAGG